rnacentral:rRNA from 1 species
UACGUAGGGAGCAAGCGUUGUCCGGAAUCAUUGGGCGUAAAGAGCGCGUAGGCGGCCCUGUAAGUCCGUUCUGAAAGUCAAAGGCUCAACCUUUGAAAGCGGAUGGAUACUGCAGGGCUAGAGUCCGGAAGAGGCGAGUGGAAUUCCUGGUGUAGCGGUGGAAUGCGCAGAUAUCAGGAGGAACACCAACGGCGAAGGCAGCUCGCUGGGACGUUACUGACGCUGAGACGCGAAAGCGUGGGGAGCAAACAGG